rnacentral:lncRNA from 1 species
UGUCUUUAGUUCUACCAUUAUUAACGACGCAGGCUGUCAAGAAUUGAGAUAUAUGGUGAUUGGGAUCAGAGCCCGACCAACCACUAAAAGUAGGUAAUAGUGCCAUACUUGUAGUUCGGUCUCCUAUUACUCCUAUUUGUACUACAAUUGGUACUUUUGGCACUCCUGCGGCCAUUGGUAUUAUCACUGAUUUCUUUGCUAUUUGAAUUUAAAUUUUUCUUCUUUUGAUUUUACUUGGACCUACAAUUCUUUU